UGACUCCUGUCCCUACGGUCACGUAUUUGGAAGGGGGCUGGAACACUUGUUUUAUCCAAUUGUCUAGCAGGCUGCAUUCUGAUUUGUUUGGGGCAUUAGUGGUGCUCCCUGAAUGACUUAUUUCUAGUCUCUGAUCUCAGAGCUCUGAAAAUUUAUCUAUCUGUACUUCCCUUAGGAUUCCUGUCAGUCCCUUGGCUUGUGAAGAACAAAGGCUUUACAAUGGCCUCCUGCUGUAUUUGCUUCAGCAUUAUGAGUUGCUUUUUGUUGAUGUGAACCCUUGUUUCUCACCAAGACAAGCAGAUGGCCUCCAGGCGCGCAUCGUGUGAAAAGUUGAGCAACUCGUGAAAGCUGCUGCUGAUGGAACACCGAGCUGGUAUGAUCAAGAUAAUCACAGAUAUGCUUCAAGAUAUGCUUGGAAUGAGAAACACUUCUAAGAUUCAAGACAAAGUUUCAAGUUCAAUGCUGUUUUUGAAGAGGACCAAUGCUUAAGCUUUUUGUUUACUACAGGCCUCUCUCACUUCAACUCUGAAAUAAAUGAAUACUGACAGCAAGCUUGAAAAGGAGCUGGACGAAAAAAAAAAAAAAAUUCAAAAUGGAGGGUUUUAAUCUGUCUCUGAAGUUGAGUCAAACUCAUCUCGAUAACCAGCCAAAACCUACAGGAUUUCAGCAUAAUGCAAGCCUCAAUGCUACCAGAUAACCACCUUGGAAGCCUGCGGUAUAAACAGACAUUCAUUCUGUAUUCCGAGAAUAUGCCGGGUGGUAUUUUAAAGUCAUAUAGCUGUUUUGAACAUACUAAAGGUAAAACUGCAAGCUCAAAAUUAAAACAUUGAGUUAUGUGCUAUGAAUGGACAAUGGGUCUAUUAUUUAUCUACGUUUCUAAAGAUUACCACACCCUUGGCUAUUCAGAACUCGAUGAAGUUAUUAUGAGUGCCUACCGUUGUUUGCAAAAUGUAGAAGAAAAUGGAAAAUGGCUCUCCAGGGUACAAGGUAUUUUUGAGGAUGGAUUUGAAAACAUACACCAAAAGUUAAUGAGGAAUAAAUUGUAACUUCUUUAGUUUAAUUGCCAGUGCAUCUCGUUUACCUGAGCUACUAAAAUUUAAAAAAUAUAAAUAAAAAUCAAUAAAAAGACAAAUUUGACAAAGCAUUUUGAAACUUCUGACAGUUUCUUUGUGUCAUAGUGUUUUUAUACUAAG
rnacentral:lncRNA from 1 species